rfam:Picea glauca, whole genome shotgun sequence.
AUGUACAUUCUUACAAUGUUAAUGCACCAAAUCCCAUUAGAACAUCAAAAUUAAGCGUGUUUGGGAUAGAGUAGUAAUGGUAUGGGUGACCUCCCAGGAAGUCUUAGUGUUUUACAUG